GACGAACGCUGGCGGCGUGCUUAACACAUGCAAGUCGAACGGAAAGGCCCUGCUUUUGUGGGGUGCUCGAGUGGCGAACGGGUGAGUAACACGUGAGUAACCUGCCCUUGACUUUGGGAUAACUUCAGGAAACUGGGGCUAAUACCGGAUAGGAGCUCCUGCUGCAUGGUGGGGGUUGGAAGGUUUCGGCGGUUGGGGAUGGACUCGCGGCUUAUCAGCUUGUUGGUGGGGUAGUGGCUUACCAAGGCUUUGACGGGUAGCCGGCUUGAGAGGGUGACCGGCCACAUUGGGAUUGAGAUACGGCCCAGACUCCUACGGGAGGCAGCAGUGGGGAAUAUUGCACAAUGGGCGGAAGCCUGAUGCAGCAACGCCGCGUGCGGGAUGACGGCCUUCGGGUUGUAAACCGCUUUCGCCUGUGACGAAGCGUGAGUGACGGUAAUGGGUAAAGAAGCACCGGCUAACUACGUG
rnacentral:rRNA from 1 species